ensembl:lncRNA
CGCCCCCCGCCUGCGCGCCGGGUCCCUGCACCCGCGCCAGAGCCCGUGCCACGCCGGGCGGGUGCGGACCGCAGACGGCGGCUCCGGGGACCCAGGGCACCCGCUCUGGGGGCGACGCCUGAAAGAGCCGGACUGGGCGAGCGCAGCUUCUUCCCCAGCGCCAGCGACGGACACCAUCGCGGGGCUGGCCGGGGAGCCGCCCGAUUGCGCCGCGCGGGCAGGGCCGCCUGGGCUUCCCCCGGUAUCUCGCCGCGCGCCCCCCUCGCCCCCUCCUUCCUUCUUGGUCGGCGCCUGUGCUGUGGGACCCAAGGGGAGAAAUGAACUGUCUUGGGGACAUGUCGUCUGAAGGAGACUAAAUUAACAGAUGAGCUCAUCUAAGGACAGAGAUGUUGAAGUGCUCAAGUUCCACAAGCUGAACACAAGCAGGAUAAAGGUGAAGUCCUUGCCUUGUCCAGAAGACAAAUGUCAUUAGCCAAGACAAGAGGAAGGAAUGCCUCUGCCACUACAGGGAAUGCCUCCCUCCAGACCAUCAUCAGUUAAGUGGCAACCUAUGGAGUUUCCUGUGACUCACAGCCAAAUUCAAAUUUGAACUGAUACUGUGUACUUCUGGUGGAGUUGACUUUACCGCAGACUCCAAGGGUCAGAAUGAGACUCAGGACAGUUCCUCUGGGCAGUUGACCCAACAACGUCCAAGAGAAUGUAGUAAUUCUUUUGCUGGAAUAACUGGCCAAGAGCCAGUCAUGUCUUCUCCUACUGAAUGUAAACAAAAGAAGGAUAUGGGCCUCUGGAGCUGCCUCCUGUCCCCUUGCAGGAAGAAAUAGCAUCGUUUGGCUCCUUCUCUCUGCUCUCUCCCACAUCUCCAUUGCUCUGACUCAUCCUCUGUGUAUCAUCUGGGACUUUGAUUUCAGAUCUUUAUGGUGGGAUCCAAAGAAACCCCCUCCCCCAGGACUCUGAAGGUGGUGAGCAACCAGGUGCUGGCGUCCCCAGAGCCCCUUGAGCUUGCUGCUUUCUCACUGGGCCUGGAGUUUGGUAAGUCUGGAGACACCUGGAGAAGGUAAGUCUUGGAUCCAAGGUCUCCUCACUUUGUGUUUUGAGCACUACGACUUUAUUGUGCAUACUUGUAGUUUGUUUGUUGAAGCUUCUUGGUAAGCCACUUUAUUCUGUUCAAAAGGGGAAAAAACAUGUGAUUCCCUGUAUUUUGGAAAGCUGUUAAGAUCCAGGGUCCCUCAUAGUUAAGAUGUCUUAGAGAAUCUAAAAGCAAAGAUGGGUUUCACCUGGUCUAAAACUCUUUCUCCAUCUCCCUCAAAAAAUUCUUCUUCCAAUAUGUAUACCCACUAUGGACCAGGAUCUAGUGCCUUUUUGGAAAAUAGGUGAACUUUUGUAUAAUUUGGAAUUUUAGUGACCACUUCAGGGAAACAUUAACUUAGAUAAGUCCACUUUAAGGGACACAAUUAAAAGAGAGGAUCCCAAACCUCUCAGAGGCAAGGGAAUGCAUUCUUUGGUUGAUAUGAAGACGUUGCUAAAAGACAAAAUGACCACAAAAAUAGCUCUAGAAGGAUUCUUACAGCAUGCAAACAAAAAAUCUUUAGUGAAGAAUUUUGGCCAUCUGAGCAGGUAAACCUAACUUAGUCCAUCUGCCAGAAACACUAUUUGGAUCCAACUAUUCUUUUGAGUUUUGUACUAUUGUAGCUGAGACUUGGCUUUGAUGGACAGGGAUUCGCAGGCCUGGAUCCCAGGCAUGGACCUAGGCACUGCUUAUCAAGCCAUGCUGCGGCAGGUGUCCCAUAUAUAAAAAAAGCAGGAAGAUGGGCACAGAUGUUAGCUCAGGGCCAAUUUUCCUUAGCAAAAAGAGAGUAGGAUUGGUGACAGGAUGUUAACUCAGGUCUAAUGUUCCUCAAAAAAAAGUAUACUAGUGUUGGGGCCAGCCCCAUGGCCCAGUGGUUAAGUUCAGCAUGCUCUGUUUUGCAGCCUGGGUUCAGUUCCUGGGCCCAGACCAAUACCACCCAUUGGCAGCCAUGCUGUGGCAGUCACCCACCUAUUAAAUAGAGGAAAUUGACAUGGAUAUUAGCUCAGGGAAAAUCUUCCUCAAGCAAAAAGAGAAAGAUUGGCAAUGGAUGUUAGCUCAGUGCGAAUCUUCCUCAGCAAAAAAAAAAAAAGUAUACUGAUGCAAAAUUAGAAGUUGUUUUUCUCUCUGUUAAAAAAACAAAGUUAUUUUUUACAUUAUUGGUCGAUGCUUGAUGAAAAAUUAUAAACAAAGGCUUUUCUUUACCUUUAGUGUAAUCUGCCUAAGAAACAAAGAUUCUGCGUCUUCAAAAAUAUUUCCUAUGCACCAUGUUGUCUUUCUCACGUCUUUGAUUACUUAAGAAAACUAUCUUCUCUAUUAAAAGAACUAAGGUUGUUUUAUAACUAUGUAACUUUCUGAAUUUGCCUUUGAAAUCUUUUAAUCGUCACUUUGGUUGAAUGGGUAACUAAGCAACUGCAUCAUUUUUCAUGUGUAUAUGUGAACUCUCACCAGAUCUUUAACCAUAUCUAUUUUUAAGUCUUUUGUCUCUCACAGACAAUUACAGUUUUACUUUGAUGCUUUUGCAAAGGUGUUCCUGCAAAAAUGCUUCAUCUUCAAAGAGAUUCAUGGGAAAGAUCCUGACAAGUACUUUAAAAUGCGGGUUUCUGAUACUUUUAAGAUAGUGACACCGAACUGGGUAAGAAUUUCUAAAACUCUAAUUGGAAACCGAUUGAUUCAUAGAGCUCCUAAUCCAAGAUGAAGCAAAACAAGAAUUACACGAGACUGAAUGAAGUGAUAAAGAUGAUUAUAAUUUUUAUGACUUUUUGUUUGAAACAUUAUGGGUUCUUUUAUGUUUUGUUUUUUCAGUUUUAAGGAAACUUUUUUCUCUUAAGCUAUCAGCGAUUUGGUAAAAUACGCAUUUGUGAACAAAGAUGAAACAUUUUUAUUUUCCUCCCUUCCACAUCCCUCCAGAAUUCAAAAACUCUUAGUAUUCUUAUUUUCAUGGCAAUAUAGUUAUUUGCAUAAGUUGAAUAAGAAUCUGUUCUCUUUGUAAGAGGACACAAUUGGACAAGUCCUUAGCUUAGAUUCUUGCCUAAAGAGACUUGAAAGGUCAAUCUGAGGUUCCUCAUGAAAAGUUUCAGCAAAGCAGAUUUGAAAAAGCCUAUAUGGUCAAUCAGUAUUCUUGCUGCACUUAUGUAAGUAAUCAGGCCAAGUGUUUCAGAGUUGACUUAAUUUGCAAACACAUGAGUCUUACUUUGGGGCUUUCUUUGAUAGAAAUGGUGGUGAACAUAAAGGGAAAAAUUAUGUUUCAGUAACACACUUGUGUGAAUAUCAGAUUCUAGUCCUGUUAAUUGUCUUUAAGGUUUUGUUAUCUUCUUGUCAACUUCAGAAAAAACAUCACAACAGAUUAUGAAUGGGCAAGCUUCAUACCUGAUGCUGUAUGGGCCACUCAAGAAAGUUCAACAAAACACCUGAUGACAGCAUCAAAGACAGUCAAACUGCAAACCAGGAAAGUCCAUCAGACUAAAACUGCCAUCCUCAUUGCACCAUCUGAAGAUGCUUCCAACCCAAAUCUAGAAAUGGUCUCAACUGGCUGCUCUCCAAACUCAAAAAAUGAAUUUAUAAUUUGCUCCAACUAUUAACCUUUGUUUUUUCUCUUGUGUCCACAGAAGUGCCUUUAAUUAAAUUACCUG